rnacentral:rRNA from 1 species
AAAUAAUAUAAUUUAAUUUAAUUAGUAUAAAUUAAUUUAUAAUAAUUAAUUUUAAGUUAAAAUUUAUUAGGUGAAAUUUUUAAAUUUUAAAAAAAUUAUUUUUUUUAAUGAAGUUAAGAAAUUUAAUCAAUAAACUAGGAUUAGAUACCCUAUUAUUUUAAAUGUAUUUUUCUAUACUAAAUUAGUAUUAGUUAUGUUCUUAAAAAUUAAAGAUUUUGGCGGUAUUUUAGUCUAUUCAGAGGAACCUGUUCUAUAAUUGAUAAUCCACGAUUUAAUUUACUUUUUUUAUUAGUUUGUAUAUCGUCGUAAUUUGAAUAUUUUUUAAGAAUAAUAAUAUUCAAGAUUUUUUAUAAUAAAAUAAAUCAGAUCAAGGUGCAGUUUAUAAAAAAGAAGAAAUGGGUUACAAUAAAAUUAUUUAAGGAUUAUUAUUUAUAAUGUGAUAUGAAUUUGGAUUUGAGAGUAAAUUUAAUUAAUUAAUUAAAUUGAUUUUAGCUCUAAAAU